rnacentral:rRNA from 1 species
AUGACAUAUUUGAGCUCACUAGAUAUAGGAUUAUCAGCUGUUUGGAAGGAAGAAAUCUCUGAAAAGAAAGGGCCACUUAACCUAUCGAGUCUUGACGUCAUGCGAACUUUGGUCGGACUAAAAGAUCAUAAAUGGAGUCACUUACUGGACUAUCUUAGAGACAUUAAGAUAAUUGUCAUUGAGAAAUGGGAUUUGCCACUUUCAACAGUGGAGUCGAUGAUAUUCAAUCUAGGUUGGAAGCUGCCGUUAGAUACUAUAUCACUCUACAGGGGGCAGACUGAUGCAUCGUUCAAGUUCAGCACCAAACUGGCAUCUCUAUGCUCAAUCGUUUGGAAUGAUAGUAAUCAAGUCACCGACUGCUUAAUCUGUCAUAAUAUCGUAUGCAAGGAUAACAUUUAG